UGGGGAAUUUUGGACAAUGGGGGAAACCCUGAUCCAGCCAUGCCGCGUGCGGGAAGAAGGCCUUCGGGUUGUAAACCGCUUUUGUCCGGGAAGAAAUGACCUCCCCUAAUACGGGGGGUUCCUGACGGUACCGGAAGAAUAAGCACCGGCUAACUACGUGCCAGCAGCCGCGGUAAUACGUAGGGUGCGAGCGUUAAUCGGAAUUACUGGGCGUAAAGCGUGCGCAGGCGGUUCGCUAAGUCUGAUGUGAAAGCCCCGGGCUCAACCUGGGAAUGGCAUUGGAAACUGGCGGGCUUGAGUGUGGCAGAGGGGGGUGGAAUUCCACGUGUAGCAGUGAAAUGCGUAGAGAUGUGGAGGAACACCGAUGGCGAAGGCAGCCCCCUGGGCUAACGCUGACGCUCAGGCACGAAAGCGUGGGGAGCAAACAGGAUUAGAUACCCUGGUAGUCCACGCCCUAAACUAUGUCAACUGGGUGUUGGGGAAGCGAUUCCUCAGUACCGUAGCUAACGCGUGAAGUUGACCGCCUGGGGAGUACGGCCGCAAGGUUA
rnacentral:rRNA from 1 species